GAUGAACGCUGGCGGCGUGCUUAACACAUGCAAGUCGAACGAUGAAGCCCAGCUUGCUGGGUGGAUUAGUGGCGAACGGGUGAGUAACACGUGAGUAACCUGCCCUUAACUCUGGGAUAAGCCUGGGAAACUGGGUCUAAUACCGGAUAGGAGCGUCCACCGCAUGGUGGGUGUUGGAAAGAUUUAUCGGUUUUGGAUGGACUCGCGGCCUAUCAGCUUGUUGGUGAGGUAAUGGCUCACCAAGGCGACGACGGGUAGCCGGCCUGAGAGGGUGACCGGCCCCACUGGGCAAGGGAAGCGGCCCGGACCCCACCGGGAGGGAAGGGUGGGAAAUUUUGGAAGAAGGGCGAAGGCAUGGAUGAGGGGCGCCGGAGGGGGAAUGACGGUUUUGGGGUUAUAACAACUUUUCAAGAGAGAAGAAGCGAAAUGGCGGGACCUUAAAAGAGAAGCACCGGCAACCUCGGU
rnacentral:rRNA from 1 species